rnacentral:sRNA from 1 species
AUGUACCCCUCGUACACUCCGGUUGCUGCGCGCCGCCGGCACCCACCUGACGACCGCGCGCUACGGUUUGGCAGCC